CCCUUAGAUGUCCGGGGCCGCACGCGCGCUACACUGAAGGAAUCAGCGUGGCUUUCUCCCUGACCCGAAAGGGUUGGGAAACCCGUUGAAUCUCCUUCGUGAUAGGGAUUGGGGCUUGAAAUUGUUCCCCAUGAACGAGGAAUUCCCAGUAAGCGCGAGUCAUAAGCUCGCGUUGAUUACGUCCCUGCCCUUUGUACACACCGCCCGUCGCUACUACCGAUUGAACGGUUUAGUGAGGGCCUCGGAUUGCUCUCGGCCCGCUCUUUACCGGGCGGCGCCGUUGGUCGAGAAGACGCUCGAACUUGAUCGUUUAGAGGAAGUAAAAGUCGUAACA
rnacentral:rRNA from 1 species